rnacentral:rRNA from 1 species
CGUGUAGGCGGGGUAGUAAGUCUAUCUUAAAAGUGCGGGGCUCAACCCCGUGAGGGGAUAGAAACUUCUAUUCUUGAGUGUCGGAGAGGAAAGUGGAAUUCCCAGUGUAGCGGUGAAAUGCGUAGAUAUUGGGAGGAACACCAGUGGCGAAGGCGACUUUCUGGACGAUAACUGACGCUGAGGCGCGAAAGCCAGGGGAGUGAACG